GUCCUACGGGGGGCUGCAGUGGGGAAUUUUCCGCAAUGGGCGAAAGCCUGACGGAGCAAGACCGCGUGGGGGAAGAAGGCUCUUGGGUUGUAAACUCCUUUUCUCUGGGAAGAACAAAAUGACGGUACCAGAGGAAUCAGCAUCGGCUAACUCCGUGCCAGCAGCCGCGGUAAGACGGAGGAUGCAAGCGUUAUCCGGAAUGAUUGGGCGUAAAGCGUCCGCAGGUGGCAGUUCAAGUCUGCUGUCAAAGACCGGGGCUUAACCUCGGAAAGGCAGUGGAAACUGAACAGCUAGAGUAUGGUAGGGGCAAAGGGAAUUCCUGGUGUAGCGGUGAAAUGCGUAGAGAUCAGGAAGAACAUCGGUGGCGAAGGCGCUUUGCUGGACCAUAACUGACACUCAGGGACGAAAGCUAGGGGAGCGAAUGGGAUUAGAUACCCCAGUAGUCAGA
rnacentral:rRNA from 1 species